rnacentral:piRNA from 1 species
UAAUGAGGAAAUAUCUGUAUUUCCACUCUU